GAUGAACGCUGGCGGCGUGCCUAAUACAUGCAAGUCGAGCGAACAGAUAAGGAGCUUGCUCCUUUGACGUUAGCGGCGGACGGGUGAGUAACACGUGGAUAACCUACCUAUAAGACUGGGAUAACUUCGGGAAACCGGAGCUAAUACCGGAUAACAUAUUGAACCGCAUGGUUCAAUAGUGAAAGGCGGCUUUGCUGUCACUUAUAGAUGGAUCCGCGCCGUAUCAGCUAGUUGGUAAGGUAACGGCUUACCAAGGCAACGAUACGUAGCCGACCUGAGAGGGUGAUCGGCCACACUGGAACUGAGACACGGUCCAGACUCCUACGGGAGGCAGCAGUAGGGAAUCUUCCGCAAUGGGCGAAAGCCUGACGGAGCAACGCCGCGUGAGUGAUGAAGGUCUUCGGAUCGUAAAACUCUGUUAUCAGGGAAGAACAAAUGUGUAAGUAACUGUGCACAUCUUGACGGUACCUGAUCAGAAAGCCACGGCUAACUACGUG
rnacentral:rRNA from 1 species